rnacentral:lncRNA from 1 species
CUUGACAGUGAAUUUUUCCACUUAUGACUCUCUUGACAGGACAGAGACCAUCUCUCCAUGCUCAUUGUAUUCUUGGGACUUGGUGUGUGGUGUUGGACCCUUGAUAAAUGUUUGCUGAAUAGAAUCAAUGGAUGAGUUCAAGUAUCGACUCCCACGUCUCCCAUGUUGUAUUUAGUCCCCAGAGUUCCUUCUGUCUCCACUGCCUAGCCACAUGCCCCAAGCCAAUGUCAUGAGGCCUGAAAUGAAUUAUUCUUACAAUAAGGGACAAACAAUGAAAUAUCUGCCUAGUGGAAUAUUAUGUAACCAAUAAUAAUUGUGUUGGCAAUGUGAAUAAAAUAUGAAGAUGUGGGGCUUUG